UACGUAGGGUGCAAGCGUUGUCCGGAAUUAUUGGGCGUAAAGAGCUCGUAGGCGGUCUGUCGCGUCGGAUGUGAAAAUCCAGGGCUCAACUCUGGACCUGCAUUCGAUACGGGCAGACUAGAGUUCGGCAGGGGAGACUGGAAUUCCUGGUGUAGCGGUGAAAUGCGCAGAUAUCAGGAGGAACACCGGUGGCGAAGGCGGGUCUCUGGGCCGAUACUGACGCUGAGGCGCGAAAGCGUGGGUAGCAAACAGG
rnacentral:rRNA from 1 species